UCAAUAGAUAGAGCUUUCAUGACCUACUAAGUAGAACAAACAAAAAUAUUAACGGUCAAAGUUAAAAGAAAAAACUUAAAAUGUCAAAUAAGGACGUUUAAAAUGAGAUGUAGGGAGUUAAGUUAUAAAUGGACUAAUGAUUACCCCAAUGCUAAUCCAACCCAACUUGUCUUAUAACUUUUAGCUCGACUGAUGACUUCCUUAUUCCAAGCCAGGUAUUCAACUUGUUGCUCUUGGGAAAAACCGUUUCACCGGAAGACUCCCAACACAUUUAUGCAAGCUAUAUUCUAUAAUAGUGUUGGAUUUAUCGCAUAAUAAUUUUUUUGGAAUUCUUCCAAGCUGCUUGGGGAGCAUGAGUACCUUGCGAGUGAUGGAUCUUACAAGUAACAAUAUGACGGAAUUUGAAAAGCUUGGUCACCAUGGAUUUGGGGAAUAAUUUGUUGACAGGUAAUAUCCCUCUUUGGAUUGGAAAAGAACUAUCAAAACUUAAAAUCUUGAAUCUCCAAUCAAACAUGUUCAUGGGUAUGCUUCCUCUUGAACUAUGUGAAAUCAAAACUCUUCAACAUUUAAACCUGGCAAAUAAUGUAAUAAAUGGAAGUAUCCCUCAUUGCUUUCGUAA